rnacentral:rRNA from 1 species
GGGUUGUGAGGUUAAGCGACUAAGCGUACACGGUGGAUGCCCUGGCAGUCAGAGGCGAUGAAGGACGUGCUAAUCUGCGAUAAGCGUCGGUAAGGUGAUAUGAACCGUUAUAACCGGCGAUUUCCGAAUGGGGAAACCCAGUGUGUUUCGACACACUAUCAUUAACUGAAUCCAUAGGUUAAUGAGGCGAACCGGGGGAACUGAAACAUCUAAGUACCCCGAGGAAAAGAAAUCAACCGAGAUUCCCCCAGUAGCGGCGAGCGAACGGGGAGCAGCCCAGAGCCUGAAUCAGUGUGUGUGUUAGUGGAAGCGUCUGGAAAGGCGCGCGAUACAGGGUGACAGCCCCGUACACAAAAAUGCACAUGCUGUGAGCUCGAUGAGUAGGGCGGGACACGUGGUAUCCUGUCUGAAUAUGGGGGGACCAUCCUCCAAGGCUAAAUACUCCUGACUGACCGAUAGUGAACCAGUACCGUGAGGGAAAGGCGAAAAGAACCCCGGCGAGGGGAGUGAAAAAGAACCUGAAACCGUGUACGUACAAGCAGUGGGAGCACGCUUCGGCGUGUGACUGCGUACCUUUUGUAUAAUGGGUCAGCGACUUAUAUUCUGUAGCAAGGUUAACCGAAUAGGGGAGCCGAAGGGAAACCGAGUCUUAACUGGGCGUUAAGUUGCAGGGUAUAGACCCGAAACCCGGUGAUCUAGCCAUGGGCAGGUUGAAGGUUGGGUAACACUAACUGGAGGACCGAACCGACUAAUGUUGAAAAAUUAGCGGAUGACUUGUGGCUGGGGGUGAAAGGCCAAUCAAACCGGGAGAUAGCUGGUUCUCCCCGAAAGCUAUUUAGGUAGCGCCUCGUGAAUUCAUCUCCGGGGGUAGAGCACUGUUUCGGCAAGGGGGUCAUCCCGACUUACCAACCCGAUGCAAACUGCGAAUACCGGAGAAUGUUAUCACGGGAGACACACGGCGGGUGCUAACGUCCGUCGUGAAGAGGGAAACAACCCAGACCGCCAGCUAAGGUCCCAAAGUCAUGGUUAAGUGGGAAACGAUGUGGGAAGGCCCAGACAGCCAGGAUGUUGGCUUAGAAGCAGCCAUCAUUUAAAGAAAGCGUAAUAGCUCACUGGUCGAGUCGGCCUGCGCGGAAGAUGUAACGGGGCUAAACCAUGCACCGAAGCUGCGGCAGCGACGCUGAUGCGUUGUUGGGUAGGGGAGCGUUCUGUAAGCCUGCGAAGGUGUGCUGUGAGGCAUGCUGGAGGUAUCAGAAGUGCGAAUGCUGACAUAAGUAACGAUAAAGCGGGUGAAAAGCCCGCUCGCCGGAAGACCAAGGGUUCCUGUCCAACGUUAAUCGGGGCAGGGUGAGUCGACCCCUAAGGCGAGGCCGAAAGGCGUAGUCGAUGGGAAACAGGUUAAUAUUCCUGUACUUGGUGUUACUGCGAAGGGGGGACGGAGAAGGCUAUGUUGGCCGGGCGACGGUUGUCCCGGUUUAAGCGUGUAGGCUGGUUUUCCAGGCAAAUCCGGAAAAUCAAGGCUGAGGCGUGAUGACGAGGCACUACGGUGCUGAAGCAACAAAUGCCCUGCUUCCAGGAAAAGCCUCUAAGCAUCAGGUAACAUCAAAUCGUACCCCAAACCGACACAGGUGGUCAGGUAGAGAAUACCAAGGCGCUUGAGAGAACUCGGGUGAAGGAACUAGGCAAAAUGGUGCCGUAACUUCGGGAGAAGGCACGCUGAUAUGUAGGUGAAGUCCCUCGCGGAUGGAGCUGAAAUCAGUCGAAGAUACCAGCUGGCUGCAACUGUUUAUUAAAAACACAGCACUGUGCAAACACGAAAGUGGACGUAUACGGUGUGACGCCUGCCCGGUGCCGGAAGGUUAAUUGAUGGGGUCAGCGCAAGCGAAGCUCUUGAUCGAAGCCCCGGUAAACGGCGGCCGUAACUAUAACGGUCCUAAGGUAGCGAAAUUCCUUGUCGGGUAAGUUCCGACCUGCACGAAUGGCGUAAUGAUGGCCAGGCUGUCUCCACCCGAGACUCAGUGAAAUUGAACUCGCUGUGAAGAUGCAGUGUACCCGCGGCAAGACGGAAAGACCCCGUGAACCUUUACUAUAGCUUGACACUGAACAUUGAGCCUUGAUGUGUAGGAUAGGUGGGAGGCUUGGAAGUGUGGACGCCAGUCUGCAUGGAGCCGACCUUGAAAUACCACCCUUUAAUGUUUGAUGUUCUAACGUUGACCCGUGAUCCGGGUUGCGGACAGUGUCUGGUGGGUAGUUUGACUGGGGCGGUCUCCUCCUAAAGAGUAACGGAGGAGCACGAAGGUUGGCUAAUCCUGGUCGGACAUCAGGAGGUUAGUGCAAUGGCAUAAGCCAGCUUGACUGCGAGCGUGACGGCGCGAGCAGGUGCGAAAGCAGGUCAUAGUGAUCCGGUGGUUCUGAAUGGAAGGGCCAUCGCUCAACGGAUAAAAGGUACUCCGGGGAUAACAGGCUGAUACCGCCCAAGAGUUCAUAUCGACGGCGGUGUUUGGCACCUCGAUGUCGGCUCAUCACAUCCUGGGGCUGAAGUAGGUCCCAAGGGUAUGGCUGUUCGCCAUUUAAAGUGGUACGCGAGCUGGGUUUAGAACGUCGUGAGACAGUUCGGUCCCUAUCUGCCGUGGGCGCUGGAGAACUGAGGGGGGCUGCUCCUAGUACGAGAGGACCGGAGUGGACGCAUCACUGGUGUUCGGGUUGUCAUGCCAAUGGCACUGCCCGGUAGCUAAAUGCGGAAGAGAUAAGUGCUGAAAGCAUCUAAGCACGAAACUUGCCCCGAGAUGAGUUCUCCCUGACCCUUUAAGGGUCCUGAAGGAACGUUGAAGACGACGACGUUGAUAGGCCGGGUGUGUAAGCGCAGCGAUGCGUUGAGCUAACCGGUACUAAUGAACCGUGAGGCUUAACCUUACAACGCCGAAG